rnacentral:rRNA from 1 species
CCUACGGGCGGCAGCAGUGGGGAAUAUUGGACAAUGGGGGAAACCCUUAUCCAGCGACGCCGCGUGAGGGAAGAAGGUUUUCGGAUUGUAAACCUCUGUUAGUGGGGACGAUAAUGACGGUACCCGUGGAGGAAGCCACGGAUAACUACGUGCCAGAAGCCGCGGCAAUACGGAGGUGGCAAGGGGUGUCCGGAAGUACGGGGUGUAAAGGGAGCGUAGGCGGGAUGUAAAGUCAGAAGUGAAAAUUAGGGGCUCAACUCAUAACCUGCAUUUGAAACUGAUAGUCUUGAGUGAAGUCGAGGCAAGCGGAAUUCCUAGUGUAGCGGUGAAAUGCGUAGAUAUUAGGAAGAACACCAGUGGCGAAGGCAGCUUGCUGGGCUUUUACUGACACUGAGGCUCGAAAGCGUGGGGAGCAAACAGGAUUAGAUACCCUUGUAGUC